CAAAUGUCUCCCCCAAAGGAUCAUUCCACUCAGCCUCCUAAAAUAACACUUUGCUCCUCUCUUCACCACAAGUAACCCAGAUUUUUUGAUUCUCACAGUGGAGAGGCUGACUGAAAAGAAUCCACUGUAGCACAGAACAAGCUUUCCUAAUGAACAGGAGAUUAAUCUCUCCCCCUCUCUCCUGUAUCCCUCUUCCUAGGAUGACUUAUGCAGUUCCAGGGCCCAGUGCAGCCUGGGGUUGACGUUGGAGGGAAAACCUGUAGGGAAGGGAAUGUGAAAGAAAGCCUUGGCAUGAGGAAUAAGAGAAGCAUUGUGAAGUCUGGGAUGUGGGGGGAUGUAAUGUGUUUCUAGCUCUGUGAGGCCCCCAUCCCAGCCCUCUUGAUUUUAGCUUAUUCCUCUUGUCUUCUGCAGACACAUGGCCAAGCUCCCUGUUGCAGGAAGUCUGUGGCCACUGUUUCAUCAAGAUCCCCACUGUGAGUGGGGAGGAGUGGUCAUGGAAGCUGACAUUCUGCUGUUUGGGGAGUCUAUGGAAGAUGCUGCCGCCUCAUAGUCCCAUCCCUCCCACCAUUCCUCUGAGGGGUUCAGUUCAGUCUCUGCCUUCAACCUCUCAGUGACCCACAGAGGACCUAUAACCAGGCCCUCUCUCAGCCCUUGUACCUGUGGCUUCUACCUUCUUACUGGAUUCCACAGAGGCCCAUGUUCCAGACCAUUUACAGGCUCCAUAGCACUGGCUUCCAUCUUCUCUGGGGACUCUGCAGAGGCAUAUUUACUUCUGUUGUCUUUUUGCCUGAGUAUCCUUUGGGGCCCAUCUACCCUCACUGAACUCUUAACUCUCUCCUUUCCUCUCACUGUGUUCUCUUUUCUUUUCUUUUUUUUCUUUUUUUGGCUGCACCGCACAGGUCUUCUGGGUCUUAAUUCCCUGAUCAGGGAUUGAAUCUGUGCCCUUGGCAGUGAAGGCAUGGAGUCCUAACCACUGAACUGCCAGGGAAUUCCCUGUGUUCUGUUUUCUCAAAGUACCCCCUUGUCACUCCUUUCAUCUCCAUCACUGGCUUUAGUGAAAAUUUGUUUGGAAUAGCUAAAUUUUCACAAAACGUUUCUGAGCAUUGUUUUGUUUAGGACUGAAACCUUCCUUUCUAUGUAUGACGUGAUAGGGGGUUUUAGAAUUCUCGUUGUUUGGCCUAUUAUAACACUAUUUUUCAUCCCCAGAUCACUUUUUGGUUGAGUCUUACCAACCAAAGAUAGAAAUCAGGUGAUUAAUUCCACGAAAUUGAUAGCAAAGGAAGUUGGGCGGCACCCAAAGGAAAGUACGUACACACCCAACAGACGGGGUAAUUGCAUGCUGCCUCGUAUUGGACUCACACCGAGGAGUCACUAAGCAUGGGCUAUAUAAUUUUAGGGCCCCAGUGCAGCCUGGCAUUUCCCCUGAAGGAGGAACCCGCAGAAACCAGAAUGAGAAAGCAAGCCUUGGGGUGAGGUAUAAAGGAGUAUAAUGAAGUCUCAGAUGUGGGGCAUGGGAAGGGGCAGCAUGCUUCAGGUGCCCUUACUCUUGCCAGACCCUCUUGUUUCUACUCUGUUCCUGGCAGCAGCUUGCAGCCUCUUGCGGUUUUGGUAACUGCUGGGUCAAGAUCUGUGCAGGGAGGGUUGGGAAAGCAUCACUGUGGUGGCUGACCUUCUGCUUUGGGGAAUCCUGUGAAAGAUGCUGCUUCCUCUGUGUCCCCUUCUGUUCUGUUGAGCCUUCUUUAACUCUGGCCUCCACCCUUUCACCAGACCUUCCAGCAGAUCAAUUAUCAGCCCCUCUGUCUGAGCCCUUUCACUUCUGGCCUAUUUAUCAGCCUUUCCUUCCAGGACCCUACAGAGUCUCAUCUUCCCCUGCUGCUCCCAAUUUUGUAUCUGACUCUGCUCCUGCAUAAUCUGUUUUCUUCUCGUGCCUUGCUCUGUUUUCUUCUCUGCCCUGUUCUUCAUAAUUGGUCCCCCUCCCUCAUCACUCCUUUCAUCUCUAUACUGGCCUCUCUGCCACCAGAGGCUCUGUCAUUGGCUCCCACAUUCUCGCUCAUCUUUUUUUCCACUCCCAUGAUGGCCUUCUCCCCUCUCCCUGGGAGUCCUCCUUGCCUUGAUCUCUCCUAACAUUUCAUUUAUCCUUAUUUCGCCCCAUUACCAGCUUUCUCAUCUUUUCCACGAAGGUCCUCUCUGCCUCCACUCUGCCCCCCAGGUCCCCUUAUUCAAUCUCAACACUGCAGAUCCCUUUCUGCCUCCGGAGCUACAAUCUUAAGGGACCAUCUUCUGCCCCCAUCAUCUACCCUUCCUCCUUUCCCCUAGAACACACUCAGAUACUAGACUCUCUUCCCCAACCAGAUCCCUCCUCUUGCAUGAUCCUACCCUUGUUGUCAGGAACUCAACCUCUUAUCACUCACAACAUCCCAUUCACUCCAUGAAUCCCACUGAUUCAUUUGCCUGUCACCCCAUCAUCACCAACAGUCUCUACCCCACCACUGCCAGACUCUCCUUUAAUACUGACUCAAUUUGGCUUGAUUUAAAUCCUACUGAACACUGUUCCAGAGAGCUCAUCUUCAGAAAACCCCCUUUGACUGACUUCUAUUGCAAAAAACGUAGGCAUUGACUGCUCAAAAACCUUGUCCAUUUCAACUUCCUCCUGGGGGCAGCUGUCUGUUAAGGACUUGCUUUUCCCUACCUUCUCAUACUGUGAUUUCCAGCAGGAGGAGCUUUCUCUUUUCAUCCAGCGAGUUCUGUCUCUGGGGAGACCCUGCAAUCAGGCAUGUGGAAGCAAGUAGACACUCUUUCCUUAGCUCUGCCGUCCAGAAGCUCCUGAAGAUAUGUCACAAAGAGUGUGGAUUUCCAGAUUUGGGAGGACAAAGAAGAAGGGAUCAUUCUAAAACAACGGAGGGCAUACUACCAACUCAGUUCUUCUGCACCUUCUUUAGCAUCACUUACUGUUGAGCACUACUCCACAGCCCUCCAACCCUUCUAGAGAUGUGAAGGCCAACCAUGGUAACUGCAUAGCCCAUAGGAGUCUCCGAAUUCCAAAAUCUUGGGAGACUCUGCAGCAUAAAUGUAGCUAGCUCUUCAGAGGUCCCCCUCUUCGCACAGUGAGUCCCUGCUGGCUACCCUUAUGUUCUUUGAUAGCAGUCCCACACUAGUCUCCCUUUCUCUUAUUCAAUCUCUAGCGUCCCCCUCCCCCAGUCCAAAUACACUUAACCAAUCCCCCAUUGCUUCCUCAGCCCCAGACCCUGCCCCCACCUUAAAGCCUAGCCCCAGUCCUUCGGGAAAAAUUCUAGAGGGAAGGAGCUCACCAAAGGACAGUAUCUUCUCUAAGUUGAGUUUCCACUUUAGGAAUAUGAUGAUGGAGGUGAAUUUAGAUAUUCUUUCAAAGAUUAAACAGUCCAGGGAGAUAGUCAAGGCCAAGGAAUUCCCCAGCUCUGAAGCAGCCUAGGUCAGCAGAAGCCCUGUGUUCCUAAGCUUCAGGCCCCAAGGAAAAGCCAGAAAAAGAAUUUAGCCCCAAAGGAUGAGAGGACCUUAAGGAGAUCCAAAGUUUAAAUACAUCAAGGAGGGGAGGUAGGAUUAAGGAUCUUCGAAGCCAGUCACCCCCUUCCAGAUUCAGCUGACACUCUAGUGAACAAGACCCCUCCCUAGUUUUUGCCCCAGAUGUAAAAUAGACUUCGACAAAUAGUCACCUGGAGAAAAAGGAUGAGUUGCUUGUUCAGUGGCUUUGUCCCAGGACACGAGGCUAAGGGCAAGGAGGUCACUUACAAGAAACUACAUCAACUGUGCACGGUCCACAUCCAGCUGAAACCAGAGGAGUCUUUGGCUGAAGUAUCCUAGUCAUUGUUUCAAGCAUUUGGGACACAUGAGCAAGAAAAACAAAGCUCCCUCCCCUUGUGGAGCUUACAGUGUUGGUCCUUGAGUCAGCUCCUUCUCAUCAUACUCAAAAUGAUAUCAAACCUCCUUCACUUUCCUCAAGCUCCUGCCCCUCCCUCCCCCUCAACAGAUUUGCUGUUUGGCCCACUUUUGAAGGAACCAUAAGCCUUCAGAUGGGAACUUUUCAUCAUCAGAUCUUCAAAAACGGUUGCAUAGCACCCUCCUUUCCCUCUUCCUUACUGCUAUGUAAAGCGGGGGUCUUUCUGGGAGGCCUUCCUUGACCCUCCCAAGACACGAAUGGUGACCUCACUUUCACCAUCACAGCUCUAUUUGUAAUUUUGGGCUACUCUCUAGGUCCCUAAAGUACCAGGACCUUCUCUAUCACCCUCACUAGUGGCCUGGUGUAUCGCAUCUAGUUAACGAGGCGGCAACAGUUUCUCCUCGGAAUCCUGAAUCCAGAAGUCACAGCUCAGGAUUCCCCUCACGGAUGAGGUUGUGACGGGGCUUACUGGCUGACUGAGGGGCCCUUCCACCACUUCUGCCUGCGGCGUUCCACUCGCUAUCGCUUCACCUCAGCCCACUGGGGCCACACUAUCUUGGCUGCGGCCUCCCAAGACCCUGAAAGGCCCCGGAGGCCCUGAGCACGGGACCUGCCCUCUCUGCCUGAACUUAAAGAGAACAUCUUCGUCACCAUCACUGUAACGCCGACUGCUGUCUGGUGGGCUCUGGGCAAGUCCUUGGGCUCCCAGCCCAGAUGUCACCCUGCCACAGGCCAGGAACAGGACGGUACACCGACCUAAUGAGGUGGCCGAGAGGAGUGGAAGGAACCGUGAGCCUUUGUUCAGCACCAGGGCCCAAGGCUGGCCCAGAGGCUCUGCUGCGGUUGCCACCUGGGCUGGCAAGGUCGCAGCUGGCACGCUCCCGGCAGGACCAGUAUCCACACCGUGCGGGGUGCUUGCCUCCCACUGGGAGUUGUUUUCUGAGGAGCUGCCGGGAAGGCCCUGCCAGCCAGGCCAGGAGGCAGGGCUGGUGAGGCCCCGAGGGAAAGGCCCGUGACAGAAAAGGGCAGCGUGACUGCAGAGAUGAGACCACGCCGGAGGGGCACACGCAGGACCCUGUACAGACGGAUGCAGGGAUCUCACCUCCCUGGGCUGGGCUGAGGCCUCAAGGUGACGUGGUGGGGCCGAGGGCACAGAGGCUCCCAGCUGCCUUCACAACAGGUACUGACACAGCCAUUGCGGGCCCUCAGCACCAGGUCCUGUGUUACACAAGAACUCUGGCGUGGCGUGGGGGUGGUCACUAGAGAUGGAAGGAAAUAUCAUGGUUCUUCUUUCUGGGGGGACAGGUUGUCUUACUCGUGCAUAAGUGUUUUAUAGCGAAUUUGCAAGAUACAGAAUAGUAGAUGGCAGUACCCCAUGGACCCCUAAACUCAAAACAUCUAAUACUAAUAUUUUGAUGUAUUUUUGUAACAUCUUUACUGGAGUAUGAUUGCUUUACAAUGGAGUUUUAGUUUCUGCUUUACAACAAAGUGAAUCAGUUAUAC